rnacentral:lncRNA from 1 species
UUGUCGUCUCUCCAAUUGCAACGGCUAUUGAAGAUAAAUUACCUUUACGAAAGAGUAAAUUUAUCGUAAACUACUUCAUCAGAACACUUUUUGUCAUCUUCCAUGUUCCAUUCUUUCCCCUCCUCGAUGAUUGUGUCUUUUAGAAUUAGUUCUUGAAGGUUGGGUAGUCUACCAAUUCUUGAAAGUGUAUCGGAUGUCAGAGAGAGCCAUUGCAACCUCAUUUUCUUCAAGCUCAAAGGGUGUAUAUAUAACUUAAAUCCUUUUUUUUUUCUUUUUUGUCAAACAGGUUUUAUUUGUGUGCUUUAUAUUAAGCACCAUAACCUAUGGAUCAAUGGCAACUAUGGGGUACUUAAUGUAUGGACAAAAUUUAAUGUCACAAAUAACAUUAAAUCUCCCUACCGGGAAAAUUAGUUCAAAAAUCGCGAUAUAUACGACACUCGUUAAUCCAAUAACAAAGUAUGCUCUUGUUGUCUCUCCAAUUGCAACAACUAUUGAAGAUAAAUUACCUUUACGAAAGAGUAAAUUUAUCGUAAGCUACUUCAUCAGAACAUUUUUAGUCAUCAGCACUGUCAUUGUGGCGUUAACCGUUCCAUUCUUUGGAUAUGUCAUGACAUUUACGGGCGCUCUUUUGGGGGUUACCGUGUCGAUAUUGUUACCAUGCCUAUGCUACCUCAAGAUCAAGAAGCCUUCAUAUUUGGAAGUUGUGUUUAUUGGGAUGAUUUUGGUUUUUGGUUCUUCAGUUGCCAUAUCUGGAACUUACACUUCUUUGAAAAACAUUAUUAGUCAUGUCUAGAGGUGAUAGAUGAACGGUUUGGACAAAAUUUGGAUGGGUCAGAAUGGACUGAAUCAAUGGGUCGUUGCUCAAUCAUGUCCUAAUUAGUCAAGAUGGGCUAAAUAAUGGUUUGUAGAUUACAACUAAUACAUAGUAAUGAAAAGCAAGCACGCAUACAAUAUCUCAUCCGUUAUAAUAAAGAACACAAGU